UAUCACUCGGGCAAUGGAGUCUGCCCCACCCAACCGCCGAACACGUCGGCUGAUGACUCCUUCUCGUCA
rnacentral:ncRNA from 2 species